GACGAACGCUGGCGGCGUGCUUAACACAUGCAAGUCGAGCGGUAAGGCCCUUUCGGGGGUACACGAGCGGCGAACGGGUGAGUAACACGUGGGUGACCUGCCUUUAGCUCUGGGAUAAGCCUGGGAAACUGGGUCUAAUACCGGAUAUGACCCUAUGGCGCAUGUUGUGGGGUGGAAAGCCUUGUGCGGCUAGGGAUGGGCCCGCGGCCUAUCAACGUCGUUGGUUGGGGUGGGUAGU
rnacentral:rRNA from 1 species